rnacentral:rRNA from 1 species
CAGCCGCCGCGGUAAUACCAGCUCCUCGAGUGGUCGGGGCGAUUAUUGGGCCUAAAGCAUCCGUAGCCGGUUCCGUAGGUCCUCUGUUAAAUCCAACCGCUUAACGGUUGACCUGCAGAGGAUACCGCGGGACUAGGAGGCGGGAGAGGCGGACGGUACUCCGCGUGUAGGGGUAAAAUCCUUUGAUCCGCGGAAGACCACCAGUGGCGAAGGCGGUCCGCCAGAACGCGCUCGACGGUGAGGGAUGAAAGCUGGGGGAGCGAACCGGAUUAGAUACCCGGGUAGUCCCAGCCGUAAACGAUGCUAGCUAGAUGAUUCAUUCGCGAAGUCGCGAAUGAAGUGUCGCAGGGAAGCCGUUAAGCUAGCCGCCUGGGGAAGUACGGUCGCAAAGGACUGAAAACUUAAAAGGAAAUUGGCGGGGGAAGCAC